UGUACUGCAAGGUCAAAUGUCUCAUCACGUGGCAUUAAGACCUAUGGUUUCUAUGGCAGCCGCCAGUUAUGUCCGGAAGAGACACUGCCAUCAUUAUCUCAUGGUGCAGCGUCAAGAAAGUUGAAAAUGAUGGAGACGUCUUCUUGUGAUCAAGCUGGUGGAGGUCUGUGGAACUGUCCUAGAAUGACCCAGUACAGCAAGGAGAUUCAGGACAUACUGAAAUUAAUGAUGCAAGAGUCGAGACUCACCAACUUCCAGCAAAGACAGCUCAAUGACAAACUUAAGAGGAUCAGCUUUGCCAUUGACCUGCAACCCCACAUCAUCGGCUCCUCCCUCACUGCCCAAACCCAAAGUCGUAAAAAAUAGCACAAACCACACUCCAGCCAAGCCCCUGGGGCGCACUGCUGACAGUUGUAGUUCUGGGGACAACUACACCAGAGAUAGGUUCCGCUGAUAUCAGAACUAGUUCACUGAUAGUUGGUCAGGGACACCUGGGAACAAAUGUACCACUGUUCUUGUAUAAACAAAAUGUAAUUUAGGCCUAUGUGUAUGAGCCCUCUUUUACGGAGUUCUCUCACAUUUCAGUUGAAGGCAUUCAGUUGUACAACUGACUAGGUAUCCCCCUUUCCUUCUAUGAGAGAUCUGGAUAAGAGAUGUAUGUGCGUUCAUUCUCUCCCUCACUUCUCCUGUAAGGAGAUUUAG